UACAGAGGGUGCAAACGUUGCUCGGAAUUACUGGGCGUAAAGCGCGUGUAGGUGGUCUCAUAAGUCGGGUGUGAAAGCCCAGGGCUCAACCCUGGAAGUGCACUCGAUACUGCGAGACUUGAGUACUGAAGAGGAGAGUGGAAUUCCCGGUGUAGAGGUGAAAUUCGUAGAUAUCGGGAGGAACACCAGUGGCGAAGGCGACUCUCUGGGCAGUAACUGACACUGAGACGCGAAAGCGUGGGUAGCAAACAGG
rnacentral:rRNA from 1 species